AAUUACAUAAAAUAUCAUAAUUAAUAGAUACAUUUGCCUUCUUCGGACUCAAUCUGUGCUUAGCAAUCCUCAUGAAGCAUAUCAAUCCGAUCCGACAAUGACUCCAGUGCUAUCCUGUCAGAAUCGGCUUCAUCGGCUACCUUGUCCGAUUCGAACCCUGCUGACACACACCUUAGCCGAUUCGGACCCCAGCUGAUGCGCGCUCUGUUUCCGCGUUUAACCGAAUCCCUUCAAAUCCGCUUCGGUUUGUUAUCUCUAUCUCCGAUUCAUGAUUUACCAAAUUUGGUCGUUAACACCUCUCCCCUCCGAGUAGGACUUUGUUUGUCCUUUGUCUCAUGAAGAUAUUUUCCAUAACAUCUGGUGAAUUUCCUUAGAGCAUAUGGAAACAGCCAGUAUACACAAAGAUAUAUCCUAUUCUUGUAUUUCCAUAAGUUCAAGGAUAGAAGGUAUGCCUUAUCUGUAACCAUAACAGUAGCCCCCGACUUUAGCUUAAAUGAACUCAUGUUGUCAUCCACGACUUCACUUGCUAGCACUUUGUCAAACUCGGUUGGUCGAUCCCGGUGUAAGACCGUAGAGACACGGAGCUAGCGACAACGCUAAACGGAGUUCAAUGGUCCAUGAGUGAAUUUAAAUUGAAGUCUAAACUACCGCCCACAACGGACCUCAGAAAUUUUCGGCGGCAAUGUCUCUCCUUUCCUUGAAAUGUGAACCAUCUGGUAGUGCGCUUAUAUAAGGGGAUUUUGAGAUUCAUUUCAGGUCCGUUUGCCAAAAAAAGUCUUUUCAACUCUCGACCCUUCCGUCUCAAGAAACCCUAACUUCCUUUGUCUCCCUCCAGCGAUCCCUCAUCGGCGAUGGAUCUUGGCAAAUCAUCCUCCGAUGAAGCUACAUUGAAGAAGCUUCGUGCGGAUGGGGCCCUUCCCAGCCAGGAGACCAUGGAGCAGGAGGAAGGAGGUAUUAAACCUGCUCCUGCUUUACGCCGUAUGGUAGUAGUAGAGGACUUUGUCUGCUGCGGGUUUUUGCCUCCACCUUCUAAAUUCCUUUUGGUCAUCUUGAAUUUUUAUGGUCUCUCCUUGCAUCUCAACCCCAAUUCUAUCGCCUUUCUGAACAUUUUUUUUUCAUCUCCGUGAGGCCUACAUUGGGGUAGUGCCCUUCCUUGACCUCUUCCGUUAUUAUUAUAAACUCCGGUGGAUGGAAUCCAAUAGAAUCUCUGGAUGCUGUGGAUUCCACCUCCGUGAUGGCAUGAAAGCCAAAUACAUUCCUUUCCAGUGUCCUUCUUCUCGGAGCGGUUGGAGGUCAAAGUGGUUCUAUCUUGAACUAGAAGAGCUUGACCCGGUUCUCAUCGUCCUCGAGAACAAGCCAGAUCGUUCCAAGAACUGGACUUCGAAACAUCUCUUGACCCCUUCUCUAAAAUCCUUUGUCGAUAUUGGUCUACGAGUACGAGGGUUGACUGGUUAUGAAACUUCAAAUACUUUGUCAUGUAUCUGGUGGGCUGCAUGGGCUGCAGGAGGAAUGGGCUUGGCCCAGCUCACAUACUGAAGGAGCAAGCAACCAAGCAGUACAAAUACCAACAGUGGCAGUGAGAGAAGAGAACGAUGAAUUAGAACCUGAUGGCUACGGCCUCUUCUUCCUCCUCUUGAUUUCUCCUCGAAUCCCUACUCUGUGUUUCUCUGAUACCCUUUACCCUUGCUUCUCUUCCCAAUCUCUGCUGCUAGUUCUUCCAAUUUGUAUCCCUGAACUUGAUAUACAGAGUUGGAGUGGAUAUAUUGCUCUUGUGCUUGUGUUCAUCAGUGGGAUUCAUGUGGGAUCGUGACACAACACUCCACCUAAUCAUCUCUAUUCUCUAUCUCUUCCCCUUCUUCCCCAGAUGCGGCUAGCACGGGCGCUGGCACACCACUGAGCGAGAGCGGAGGCGGAAUCGACGGAGGCAUGGCAGAAGCCGAAUCGACGGAGGCCGACGAACAGGGGCGGGGCGGAGAGGGAGGAGACAGGGAGGCCGGUGACUUAUUGUACUCCUCCUCUUUACCGUCGCUCUCUUCUCUCUCCACCGGCAAGCGCAACAAGACGGGGAGGGCGGAGAGGGAUGUGAGGGGGGAGGGCAAGGGGGGCAUCUCCUCCCUUCUUUGCAUCUGCUGUCUUCGCGCCACAGUCGUCAUAGAAAGAAGCAGCGGUGAUGGAGUAAAGGGGAUGGAAACCGGGGAGCUGGACCGCGGCAGAGGAGGCGAAGCGGAUAGGAUUGGACGGGGAGGGCGGUGAGUCUCCAUGGUUUCCUGCGACGUCAACGGCCACAUCCUCUUCACGUGGCGGCGACAGAGCGGAGCAGGGGCGUAACUGGGCCUAGGGCAACUUGGGCCCAGGCCCUACUCGUGAAAAAAAAUUUUAGUACCUAUACCUUGUAAUUUUUCCAUACAUUCUUAGCCCAGCCCCACUCGUAUGCAGGCCGGCCCUACACUCGGCCUUCCAAAAAAGGCCCACGAAAUAGCAAAAUGCCAAAGCCCAUUAGCCCACUAAGCAGUGAAAACCCUAGCCACUGAAGGCCCUAGGUCUCUCUCUCUCUCUCUCUCCAACUCUUCCUCACUCCCUGCAAGGCGCGAGGCGGCGUGCGGCGGCGGGGGCGCGGCUGCGCGAGGCGCGAGGCGGCGGCGGCAGCGGCCGGCGAGGCGGCGUGCAGCGGCGGCGGCGAAUGGCGUGCGGGCGUGCGGCGUCGCGUCGGCUAGUCGGCUUGCCGCUUGCGGUCGUGCGGGACAGUGGGAGUGGAACUGUGAAAGAUGAAGAGAAGUAGGACAAUAAAAUUAUUCAUUCAAGUUCAGUCCUCAAAUGAAUCCACCCCGGCAACUCAAGAAACAGAAGAAACCAAUGACUCCAUCCCAAUGCCUAAUUCAGCAGAAACCAUGGCUAGUAACAAUGAGCAAGAUCGUAUUGUGCUUGAACCAAAUGUGGUUGUUGUUGAUCCCGGGCUUCGCACACCAAUCGAACACUCUUGUAUUUUUUUUGUCCAACCUGUAUUAUACUUUGCUGCACAUUUGUCAAGUUUUAGCCUUUAUUUUGGGCCCUACGCGUCCGAAGAUCCUAGUUCCGCCACUGGAGCGGAGGGGAUGGAAACGGGAGUGAUCAACCGCAGCAAAGGCGUCAGAAGGGAUGGGACGGGGCAACGAUGAUUCUCCGUGGCUUCUUGCUAUUAGAAGUAUAUAAUCUUGUUGUUUUAAUUUCA